rnacentral:rRNA from 1 species
AGGAUCCGAGCGUUAUCCGGAUUUAUUGGGUUUAAAGGGUGCGUAGGCGGCUUUAUAAGUCAGGGGUGAAAUUCGGCAGCUUAACUGCCGGCGUGCCUUUGAUACUGUAGAGCUUGAAUUGGUUCGAGGACGGCGGAAUGUGACAAGUAGCGGUGAAAUGCAUAGAUAUGUCACAGAACUCCAAUUGCGAAGGCAGCUGUCCAGGUCCAUAUUGACGCUGAUGCACGAAAGCGUGGGUAUCGA